UGCGUAGGCGGCUAGGCAAGUCAGACGUGAAAACCAUGGGCUCAACCUGUGGACUGCGUUUGAAACUGUUUAGCUUGAGUGAAGUAGAGGUAGGCGGAAUUCCCGGUGUAGCGGUGAAAUGCGUAGAGAUCGGGAGGAACACCAGUGGCGAAGGCGGCCUACUGGGCUUUAACUGACGCUGAGGCACGAAAGCAUGGGGAGCAAACAG
rnacentral:rRNA from 1 species